rnacentral:rRNA from 1 species
UACGUAGGUGGCAAGCGUUGUCCGGAUUUAUUGGGCGUAAAGAGCGCGCAGGCGGUCGUACAAGUCGCGUGUGAAAGCCCCCGGCUCAACUGGGGAGGGUCACGCGAUACUGUUCGACUCGAAGGCAGGAGAGGGAAGUGGAAUUCCCGGUGUGAGUGGUGAAAUGCGUAGAUAUCGGGAGGAACACCAGUGGCGAAGGCGACUUCCUGGCCUGUUCUUGACGCUGAGGCGCGAAAGCUAGGGUAGCAAACGGG